ensembl:lncRNA
CCUAAACAAAUGAAUCAACAACAUGCUGACCUUUAUACUGUCCUCUAAGCCUUUAGCAGAUUAUUAUAUUACUAACUGUUCUGGAUGUGAACUCGGGCCUGGACCAGAGAGUCCAGGAGAGGCUCCAAUAGACCGGGGGCAGAUUGGCUCAGCUGGGCUGGGUGAGGGGCCACCGGGCUGGGGGCCACAGCCUCACAUCUGAGCCUGGGGGGAACAGGCAGGCAGGAUGAGCUUCCUGUGGUCUUCAAUAGCCCUGGUGUAGGAUCCAGUUUGUGUAAGUGUCUGGCUCUGAACCACAGACUGGGUAGAGAUGAACCUUGACUGGAGAGAGAACAAAGUAGAUCUGAGAAUAAAUCCUUUGCACCUCACAAUGCUCUUCACAGGUAAUCUUGGUAAAAUAAUUUGGUUCAUUAAAAUCAUCUAUAAUUCACAAAACCUGGAGCUGAGACAUAGGGUAAUCUUAUAUAAUUUCCUAAUAAUGAACACUGCAAUUAAAAGGGAUGGACAUUCUCUGUUCUGUGUGGAUGCAGGACAGAGGGCACAGCAGAAGGACGCUGGCCAGGGGCUGAUGCUGUAAAGUGAGAACUUUUCAAAGGGGUUUAUUCUCCCAGGAUCCCUUUGGACCUCUUUCAGCAGUAAGAGCCCUACAGACAAUGAUCUGUUUCAGAAAGCAAAGUAGACUCUCCCUCAGUUUCUCCCUCCCUCCCUCUGUUUCUCUCAGUCUCCCUCUGUUCUCUGUUUGGGAAGAUUGGCAUGCCCUUGACAUGAUGACUGCUGGCCUGACUGUGUAACUGGACACUUCUUAUUCUGUAUUUAUGUAAGUGAGGGAGGUGUGGGGGUGAAGUACACACAAGGAGGAGGGACUAGCAUACGGUGGAUUUGUUUGUGUGUGAGAGCGCUUGUUAAUAGCAAGGAUGUGUGCAUAAGUGUUUGUGUGUCUGUAUGAACAGGUGUUGGUGUUUGGGUGUGUUCCUGACUCAAUUUGCCCUGUGGUUACUGUAUUUUUGUAUUAAUUUAUAGCAGUUCUAAUUAACAUGGAGCGUGUGUGCGUGCCCACCUGCUACCCUUCCCCAGAUCUUGGUAGGCUUGCCUCAUGUCCAUCAGGGUAUCCAUUGCGCUCUGGAAGGAGAGGGAGAGCCCCUUAUCUACAGGACCCAACACAGCCUGAGGUUUCCUUACGCUGAGAGAGCCAGCAGUUCCCUGACCACCUCCACAGGUCUGUAUUCCCAUGGCAACCGGACGUCCAGCUCCUCAAACAAGUCGACGUCCCUCACAGCCAGCAUUAGAGGGGUCAGCCCGUCGCGGUUCUGAGUGUUCACGUCUACUAGGUCAGUCUGGGCCUGCAACACAGACAUAGAGAUAUAGGCUCAGCACUGGUGCCUGAGAGUUACACAUUACGAACAAAGAAAGGUCAAAUGACAAAUGUCCUGGAGAUGAUUACAGAUGGAAUGCUCAUAGCUGCUUCGGCUGCAUCCAUACAAUGCUGUCCUUUGUGCUAAUCUAAACUCUAGCCUACCCUGUUGUUAGGAAAGCACCUGGUGCUGUGUGUCACAUUUCCAGUUACACAAUGUAAAGGGUGUUGGGAGUGAUAUCAGUGGCGGUGGCAGUGACUGUGUGCGCGAUUGGUGUGUGCUUGUGCGCGUGUGUGUGUGGUCUAUGGUGGGGUGUUGUAAAGGAGUUUUGGGGGGAGGCGGACUUACCAGAAGGUGCUGCAGGGAGUGGAGGUCUCCCUGCCAAGCAGCCUGGAGGAGCUGGGUCUGGUGGGGCAAAGCCCUGAACAUGGCUGAUAACAGCACCCCCUGGAGGACUGGAAGACUCACAUGCAGUGGUGUCUGGUUGCUAUGGUUGCACAGAGUUACAUCGGCUCCUCUUUUCAGAAGGAAGUGUACAACCUGACAACAAAAUUUACAUUAAAAUACCCCCCCCCCCCUCCUAUGUUUUAUUGGUAGGGUAGGGUUAAUGACAUGCUUUGGUCCCCUAUUUCAAAAUGGCAAAGGUCAAGUAAAUGACAGCCAGCAUAAUAGUAUGGGGUUUAUUGCAUGUUUUCUCACUGUACAUAGUACGAUGCCAUGUUUUGCUUUGGCAACAGUGAAAUCUGUUAAAUCAUACAGAGUCAAAACAAAAGCCAGAAAGACCCAACUCCUGGGACACAUGUAAACAAUUGUUUCCCUGUGGCCUUAGACACACUACUAACAAAUUAAUGUGGUUGUUUUGAUAGUGUAUCUCCAGAGAAUGAUCAUGGGUCUUCACCCCCCUCAAUGUCACAUGACACCAUGUUAUUGGGAAGAAAAAUAAAUACUCUCAAAUUUUUCAUCGGUCAACACCUGUGUUUAAAUGGAUUGUUCACAUCCUCACAGUAUGUUAAACUGUUUUUGAUUUAAAUAUUCCUUCAUUCACACAGUGAUGCUUUUAUUGAAUAUAGAUUACAAUGUGCAAGACUAAUAGACAUGCAACCACAUAAACAGAACAAAGUCUGUAUAAAGCAUAUCAGCCAUGCUGUGUUUCCAUUCAAAUAUAAAGGCUUAUUCACUAACAAUAAGAAUACUAAUCACAUCAGUUCAGUCAAAGGGUCACUGAAGCAGACUAACAUACCAGACAGACCUCCCCCUAAACCAAAUUCCCCUCCCCCAAUGGUGCUUACCUCAGUCAAGCCCCUCUGGCAGGCAGUGAUAAGGGGAGUACAGCCCCCCUCCAUGCGGGGAACAUCCACCUCCUCCCAGGGACAAUCUCCCAGCUCCUCCAGCCCCAGGCCUACCACCUCCAGCUCUCCCCUCAGCACCUCAAUACCAGCCCCCAGAACCCUUUUCUCACUACUCUCCAUCAUCCACAAGGGUCCUGUUGGCGAGAAUAGAAGCCAGAAGGAUGAAUGUAAGAGAUAACAGUGAAGGUUGUUUUGUUGCUCUGUAGCUUGCUGCCUUUCAGCUUGGUUUGUUUGCUGUGGACACUUGGUUCAUGGUUACUCUCCUCUUUCAAGAUCUGGUCCCUCCACGUAUGGUGUGGGGCUUCAGCAGGUUUAUGUUGACUGUUGAUGCAAGCCUCUAGGGCUCUCCAUCCCUGUUCCUUCAGAGCUACCGUUCAGUAGGUUUUCACUCCAACCCUAAUCUAGCGCACCUGCUCAAAAUAAUUACUAUAAUAUCAUAAGCUCCAGUAGGAGAGGUGGAGUGGAGGACAUUUCCUCUCGUUACUGUAUCAUGUGUAUCAGAGAAUGACUGCCUCUCACAUGGUAUCCUAUAUCCCCUAUACUAGCGGUAUUAAACGCUUACCCUACAAGGUCUAGAGCCUCCUGGUUUUCUGUUCUACCUGAUAAUUAAUUUCACACACCUAGAAUCCCCUCUAAAUUAGAGGGGAACAAUGGAGAAAAAGCAGUGGAACUGGCUUUGAUGUCCAGAGUUGUGUUUGAGGGCCCUAUACAGUGUAAUGCUUUUGAUGCAGGGCCCCUGGUCAAAAGUAAUGCACUACGGUGCCUACACAUAAUACCCCAUAGUGUUGAAUUAUGUUGUUAGACAUUUCAGCUUUUCAUUUUUUUGUAAACAUGUCUAUCUGCCUCACAAAGAAGGGCACCUAUUGAUAGAUGGGUAAAAAAUAAAAAGCAAUAAUUGAAUAUCCAUCUGAGCAUGGUGAAGUUAUUAAUUACACUUUGGAUGGUGUAUCAAUACACCCAGUCACUACAUAAAUACAGGCGUCUGUCUUAACAGUUGCCAGAGAGGAAGGAAACUUCUCAGGGAUUUCACCAUGAGGCCAAUGGUGACUUUAAAACAGUUACAGAGUUGAAUGGCUGUGAUUGAAGAAAACUGAGGAUGGAUCAACAUUUUUGUUACUCCACAAUACUAACCUAAAUGACAGAGUAAAAAGAAAGAAGUCUGUACAGAAUACAAAUAUUCCAAAACAUGCAUUGUUUGCAAUAAACCACUGAAGUAAAAAUGCAAUAAAUGUGGCAAAGAAAUUAACUUUAUGUCCUGAAUACAAAGUGUUAUGUUUGGGUCAAAUCCAAAACAACACAUUACUGAAUACCACUCUACAUAUGUUCAAGUGGUGGCUGCAUCAUGUUAUGGGUAUGCUUGUAAUCGUUAAGGACUGGGGAGUUUUUCACAAUAAAAAUGUUUACGGAAUAGAGCUAAGCACAGGCAAAAUCCCAGAGAAAAACCUGGUUGUCUGCUUUCCACCAGACACUGGGAGAUGAAUUCAUCUUUCAGCAGGACAAUAACUUAAAACACAAGGCCAAAUCUACACGAGUCGCUUACAAAGAGGACAGUGCAUGUUCCUGAGUGGCUGAGUUCCAGUUUUGACUUAAAUCUGCAUGAAAAUCUUAGGCAAG